rnacentral:rRNA from 1 species
GACGAACGCUGGCGGCGUGCUUAACACAUGCAAGUCGAACGGAAAGGCCCUGCUUGCAGGGUACUCGAGUGGCGAACGGGUGAGUAACACGUGGGUGAUCUGCCCUUCACUUCGGGAUAAGCCUGGGAAACUGGGUCUAAUACCGGAUAGGAGCCAUCUUUAGUGUGAUGGUUGGAAAGUUUUUUUGGUGUAGGAUGAGCUCGCGGCCUAUCAGCUUGCUGGUGGGGUAAUGGCCUACCAAGGCGGCGACGGGUAGCCGGCCUGGGGGGGUGGACGGCCACAAUGGGACUGGGGUACGGCCCAGGCCCCUACGGGGGGCAGCAGGGGGGAAAAUUGCACAAUGGGCGCAAGCCUGGUGCAGCGACGCCGCGUGGGGGAUGACGGCCUUUGGGUUGGAAACUCCUUUCGCUAGGGACGAAGCUUUUUGUGACGGUACCUAGAGAAGAAGCACCGGCUAACUACGUG